AUUGAACGCUGGCGGCAGGCCUAAUACAUGCAAGUCGAACGAGUGGCGGAAGGGUGAGUAAUUUAUGGGCCACUGCGCGAUGGAGGGGGAUAAAUACUGGAAACGGUAGCUAAUGCCGCUAACAAUCGUAUUUUUUCAGGUGGGAUUAGCUAGUGGGUGGGGUAACGGCUCACCUCGGCGACGAUCCCUAGCUGGUCUGAGAGGAUGACCAGCCACACUGGAACGGAGACACGGUCCAGACUCCUACGGGAGGCAGCAGUGGGGAAUAUUGCACAAUGGGCGCAAGCCUGAUGCAGCCAUGCCGCGUGUGUGAAGAAGGCCUUCGGGUUGUAAAGCACUUUCAGCGGGGAGGCGUUACCCGCAGAAGAAGCACCGGCUAACUCCGUGCCAGCAGCCGCGGUAAUUU
rnacentral:rRNA from 1 species